UUGAGACUAACCUAAUAUCUAUAUCAAAAGCUUGAUAUAACUGCCUAUGAGCACGCUUUCAAAUAAAAUAAUGUGGCUGAAUGUUUGUAAAAACAACAAUAAAUAUUUAAGUUAUAAAAGUUUAAGUUAUACAAUUAGUAAAUUAUAAAAGUGCCACAAUUGUCCCACUAUCACGUGCUGGGGUGGCAUUUUGCUCCUAUGAACGGGUCAUAAAACUACAAAAUGAGUUUUAAAUUCAUGAUUUAAUAUUAAUGAGAUUUUUAUGUAAUGUUUUAAUUCUAGAUGUGUAUUUAUGUGAAUGCUGCAUGACUAUGACGUGUUUUAAUGCGUGUGCGCGCCGAACAUUCGAACCGCUUUCACUGGAGCGGCGCAGAGUUGCCAUGGAAACGGAGAAACAACAACUGACAAGCAGCAAAAACAGCAGUCUCUCGCUGUUGUUUUCACUCCUUUCAAAAACAGUUUAGUGUCUUCGAAAAACUCCGUUAGCAUCCCGUUUUCAGAAGAGCAGCAACAAAAUAACCCCUCUACAACAGAGGGGAAGCUCCGAAGAUUUCAACAUUUCUGAAGGAAGAUGCUGACAGAAGAAGGAAACACAGAUACUUCCCUGCUGAUGCCCUGCACCAUAGCAGAGUUGGAGCGGAUAAAAAAGUUCCUGUCGGACCACAUGACUAGAUGCCCAGCAAGGUUACUAGGAUUACGGCAGCUCAAGUUUGGAUCCAGCCUCACUUGUGAAGACUUCAGAUACUAGAUGGACAUCUAGUUAAAAUAGUCAACGUGACUACAGUGGUUCAAAAAGUAUUCUCGUUGCUUCAUAACAUUAAGAUCGAACCACUGUAGUCAGGUUGACUAUUUUAACCAUUUUUUCAACUACCUUUCUGGAUGUCAAAAGGUGCAAUGUCUUUGCUGCCUAUGUGUGGAUCAGAUACCCUCGGAUUUCAUCAGAAAUAUCUUAAUUUGUGUUCCGAAGAUGAACAAAGGUCUUACAGGUGUGGAACGACUAGAGGAUGAGUAAUUAAUGACAGAAAUUUCAUUUUUGGGUGAACUAACCCUUUAAGCCUUGUCUGUGAAACCGGGCAAGUGCCUCGAAGGGAAGGUUUGCAUGACAGUUUUGCUGACAAAUAGACAGUGAUAUCUCUAUGGAAGCUUGUUGCCGUCACUGAAUAAAAAUAGGUAAUUGUAGGGCUGCACGGUUUAUUGCACAAUAUGGAAAAUAUCAUUGAACUUGAAUGCAAUUAUCACUUAAACGCAAUUCUUAGUUCGAUUAUGAAAUCGCAAAGGCUGCGAUUUUUUUUAUUUUUUUAUGCGCAGCUUGUCAAUGAAGUAUGGCUCCAAAUGCUAAUCCACCUGAAAGCACUGCGAGUUUGAGUCGCUUAUAAUGUACAUUUGAAAAAGCAACAAGCGUCAAACAUCUUUCCAGACAUGAGAAGCAUUUAUUAACAUCUUGUCCAACAAAAGACAACAUUUAAUAACAUGUCUUUACUCCAAACUCACUUCAUAACGAGUUUAGCAGCCUUCUGUGAGAUGAUGUGGCUUCUUACACAGAAUAAGGCAGUCGUGUGUUUAUUAGUCAUGUUUAAUCAAUCGAAACGUUUCAAUCUUCUGUUUAUUCAGCUAUAGCGAUAUGAUGAGUGUUAUCCUCUUCUGCUGCAGGGCAUAUGUUGAGUUUCUGCACAAGAGCGCCCUCUGGUUUUCAGAUGGAGAGGCAUUUACUACUGGUCAGAGCCGUACAGCUCUGACAAGCUGCGUAUAAAAUAAUUGCAGCCUUUGCCAGAUCGCGUGCGAUUUAAUCGUGAUAAAUCAUGCAGCCCUAGGUAAUUGCGACUUUCUAUCACGCAAUUCUGACUUUAUAUCAUGCAAUUCUGACUUUAUAACUUGCAAUUGUGAUAUUUAAAUCUUGCAAUUCUGAGAAAAAGUCAGAAUUGUGAGAUAAAAAGUCGCAAUUACCUUUUUUUAUUUUUUAUUUCAUGGCGGAAACAAGCUUCCAUAUAUGUCAGUACAUGUAACUCAGAGAAAGAUUAAACAUUCUCCAUUUACAUAUAUGACCAACAUUGUAACAAUACAAAGUGUUAAAAAUCUGCAAACUUGCUCUUUAAAAAUGUUGAAGAUAGCAUCCUUUUGUCUGUUUUACUGAACACGACUUUAAACAUGACUUUAAAUUGACUUUAUCUUAGAGCUAUUGUCAUAUGGACAUUACUGGUACUUUGUUGCCAGAAGAUGCACCUCAGUGAGUCACAGUCACCUCUGGCUGAUUAAAGGAUAUUUUGCAAUUGUAUAAUCUUGAACAUGCAUUUUCUGUAAAGCUGCUUUGAAACUAAUAUAUAAAAAAGCACUAUAUGGUUUUACUAUGGUAAAACUGUAGCAACUAUGUUUUUUUUUUCUUCAAAUCAUGGUUCUACUAUUGUAAUAUUGCAGUAAUACUAGAGUAAAAGUAUGGUUAUCAUGACUAGUAACCAUAGGUUUUGAAACCAUGCGUUUUGUAGUUAUGGUUUUACAACAACAAUCAUAGAUAAACCAUAGUUGUAGUAAAACCAUGGUUCAUUUUGUUGUUUUUACUGCAAAUGCUGUGGUAAAACCAAGGUUAAUUUAGAAAUAAACGUGAAUUUAAUGCUCCUAAUUUACUUGACUAAUAGUCACGUUGGAUAAAAUCAUCUGAUAAAUGAAUAAAUGUAUGUAUUUUAAUCUGUUCAUUGAAAAUGUAUUUAAAAAUAAAUUUGCAACUGCUAUUGA